rnacentral:rRNA from 1 species
UACGUAGGGGGCAAGCGUUAUCCGGAUUUAUUGGGCGUAAAGCGCUCGCAGGUGGUUCGUCGCGUCGUGCGUGAAAGACCCCGGCUCAACUGGGGGGCGUCGUGCGAAACGGGCGGACUGGAGGCCAGUAGGGGGAUGCGGAAUUCCGGGUGUAGUGGUGGAAUGCGUAGAGAUCCGGAGGAACACCAGCGGCGAAGGCGGCAUCCUGGACUGGUCCUGACACUCAUGAGCGAAAGCGUGGGGAGCGAUCCGG